GAUGAACGCUGGCGGCGUGCCUAAUACAUGCAAGUCGAGCGAACGGACGAGAAGCUUGCUUCUCUGAUGUUAGCGGCGGACGGGUGAGUAACACGUGGAUAACCUACCUAUAAGACUGGGAUAACUUCGGGAAACCGUAGCUAAUACCGGAUAAUAUUUUGAACCGCAUGGUUCAAAAGUGAAAGACGGUCUUGCUGUCACUUAUAGAUGGAUCCGCGCUGCAUUAGCUAGUUGGUAAGGUAACGGCUUACCAAGGCAACGAUGCAUAGCCGACCUGAGGGGGUGAUCGGCCACACUGGAACUGAGACACGGUCCAGACUCCUACGGGAGGCAGCAGUAGGGAAUCUUCCGCAAUGGGCGAAAGCCUGACGGAGCAACGCCGCGUGAGUGAUGAAGGUCUUCGGAUCGUAAAACUCUGUUAUGAGGGAAGAACAUAUGUGUAAGUAACUGUGCACAUCUUGACGGUACCUAAUCAGAAAGCCACGGCUAACUACGUG
rnacentral:rRNA from 1 species